UUCAGAUUAUCCUGACUAAAUUUAAUCGAAGUAUAACAACAAAAGACUUUACGUGCAUUGAAAUGCAGACUGGUCGUCCAUGGACUUAUCAAACUGAUUUAUAUUGUGUAGCUGUUUCACCUCAUUGUCUUUAUUUUGAGGGAAACACAUGAGAGCUGUUUUGUCUGGUAACCGUUGGUUCAUUAAUUGAAAAAUGUCAAGAUUAAAUAUCAAUCCAUUAUAGUAAUAAUAAUAAUAAUAAUAAUAAUAAUAAUAAUAAUAAUAAAAUCAACUCUAAAGAAACUGAUCAUAAAGGACUGAGUGAAGUGGAUAUUCAAUGGAGGAAGUUGAAUCAGAUGCCAUGCAAUUAUUAUUAUAAAAGUGAGGAAAGCCUUGUGAAAUAUUUGCAACUGUGUCCAAGGAAAUAUGGCUGUGGAAAAUGCUCUCUCAUAUUC